rnacentral:rRNA from 1 species
GACGAACGCUGGCGGCAUGCCUAAUACAUGCAAGUCGAGCGAACAGAUGAAGUGCUUGCGCUUCUGACGUUAGCGGCGAACGGGUGAGUAACACGUAAGGAAUCUACCUAUAAGCGGGGGAUAACAUUCGGAAACGGGUGCUAAUACCGCAUAAUAUCUUCUUCCGCAUGGAAGAAGAUUGAAAGACGGCUCUGCUGUCACUUAUAGAUGACCUUGCGGUGCAUUAGUUAGUUGGUGGGGUAAUGGCUUACCAAGACGAUGAUGCAUAGCCGACCUGGGAGGGUGAUGGGCCACAUUGGGACUGAGACAAGGCCCAAACUCCUACGGGAGGCAGCAGUAGGGAAUCUUCCGCAAUGGGCGAAAGCCUGACGGAGCAAUGCCGCGUGAGUGAAGAAGGCCUUCGGGUCGUAAAACUCUGUUAUAAGAGAAGAACAAAUUGUAGAGUAACUGCUACAGUCUUGACGGUAUCUUAUCAGAAAGCCACGGCUAACUACGUGCCAGCAGCCGCAGUAA